GGACUUACGCGACGGCAAAGAAGGAGUAUCCAUCCAAAUGCCAUGACUGAAUGCUCUUCUCGUGGUUCUCAAAGAUGAUCUCUACAAAGUCACGGAAGGUCUGGUUGACAACGUUGGGUGCCAAGGUGACCUUGUCCUCCACGGUGGCUGGGGGUUCAUCUUGGAUGGUGUCGUACUUGAAGACCUUGUCGGCCACACCAAAGUACUGAGCCAGCUUGAGUGGGGUUUCGGAUUCCACGUAGGAGACUCCGUUGAUGGCAUAGCGGAGCUUGCCAUUCACCAUCGAGGCGGAGUUGACGAUCUUGAUGGUACGGGUGAUGUUGAUCUUUCCGUAGUGGUACGAGCCCUGAGGAUUAGGCCUGGCAGCGCUGGCAGUAAGGUUCCAGCGGAAGGAACGGAACUGGUUGAGAGACCAGGCCCAUCCUACAGGAGCUUCGGGGAGCUCGGGGGAUGCAGGGCCGUUACUGUUUUCAUAGCGGAUUAUGCCUUUGCCGGUGAGCACGGUCUUGGUGAAUCGGGUCGAGGCUACCAUGUAGUAGUCCUUGCGCUCUUUGUCGGCAGUGACGAGCAACGAGAAGCAUUGCCCCAAGUGCACGUCAAGGGACUCGUAGGUGUUCUGGACGGUGUGGGAGCCUUCCAUCUCGACAAGCUUUAAGGGGUGGCCUUGGAUCCUGAAGUUGAGGGAGUUCUUGAAGCCCACGUUGCAGACCCUGUACUUGUAGGUCUUCCCUGGCUUCAUGGUGAAGAGGGGCUCGUCUUUGCCGUCUCCCUUGGCGUUCUUGCCGUUGAUUAGGAUGCCGUCGGGCCUUCCCAUGGUGCGGCCGCUGUCCAAUAAUUUCUUGAGAGCGGUGUGACUUUUGGUGUACCAGUCGCCGAUCAUAACGGUGUAUUCAUCCUCGGGAUCAGCAUAGGGGACGGGAAUGAGCAGACGACUGUUGAUGCGGAGUCCACCAAAGCCGCCUGCUGCCCUGUGCAUGGCAGUGACGGGAUAGUACAUGUAGCUCCCGAUCUGAUCCUUGACUUGGAAGCGGUAGGUGAAGUUGGUGCCAGGGACGAUGGGGCACAUGGUUCCAAGGGUUCCAUCCUGCCACGAAUUCUUCCUCUGCUGGAUGCCGCUCCAUGUCAAAAGGAAUGGCUCAUCGAGGUUGUU
rnacentral:lncRNA from 1 species